UACGAAGGGAGCUAGCGUUGUUCGGAAUUACUGGGCGUAAAGGGCGCGUAGGCGGUUAACUAAGUCAGAUGUGAAAGCCUUGGGCUUAACCUGAGAACAGCAUUUGAUACUGGUUGACUUGAGAUCGAGAGAGGAAAGUGGAAUUACGAGUGUAGAGGUGAAAUUCGUAGAUAUUCGUAAGAACACCAGUGGCGAAGGCGACUUUCUGGCUCGAUACUGACGCUAAGGCGCGAAAGCGUGGGGAGCAAACAGG
rnacentral:rRNA from 1 species